CCCGUAACGAGCGCAACCCUUGUCCUUAGUUACCAGCACCUCGGGUGGGCACUCUAAGGAGACUGCCGGUGACAAACCGGAGGAAGGUGGGGAUGACGUCAAGUCAUCAUGGCCCUUACGGCCAGGGCUACACACGUGCUACAAUGGUCGGUACAAAGGGUUGCCAAACCGCGAGGUGGAGCUAAUCCCAUAAAACCGAUCGUAGUCCGGAUCGCAGUCUGCAACUCGACUGCGUGAAGUCGGAAUCGCUAGUAAUCGUGAAUCAGAAUGUCACGGUGAAUACGUU
rnacentral:rRNA from 1 species